rnacentral:tRNA from 1 species
GGGCUGAUAGUUUAGACUGGUAGAAUACCCGCCUUGCACGCGGGGGGUCAGGGGUUCAAAUCCCCUUCAGUCCACCA